rnacentral:rRNA from 1 species
UACAGAGGUCUCAAGCGUUGUUCGGAUUCAUUGGGCGUAAAGGGUGCGUAGGCGGCGCGGUAAGUCGGGUGUGAAAUCUCGGGGCUUAACUCCGAAACUGCAUUCGAUACUGCCGUGCUUGAGGACUGGAGAGGAGACUGGAAUUUACGGUGUAGCGGUGAAAUGCGUAGAUAUCGAAAGGAAGACCAGUGGCGAAGGCGGGUCUCUGGACAGUUCCUGACGCUGAGGCACGAAGGUCAGGGGAGCAAACGGG